rnacentral:rRNA from 1 species
CAACUCUUGACAUCCCCCUGAUCGGUACAGAGAUGUGCCUUCCCCUUCGGGGGCAGGGGUGACAGGUGGUGCAUGGUUGUCGUCAGCUCGUGUCGUGAGAUGUUGGGUUAAGUCCCGCAACGAGCGCAACCCUUGUCCUUAGUUGCCAGCAUUCAGUUGGGCACUCUAGGGAGACUGCCGAUGACAAACCGGAGGAAGGUGGGGAUGACGUCAAAUCAUCAUGCCCCUUAUGAGUUGGGCUACACACGUGCUACAAUGGACGGUACAAAGGGCGGCGAAGCCGCGAGGUGGAGCCAAUCCCAGAAAGCCGUUCUCAGUUCGGAUUGCAGGCUGCAACUCGCCUGCAUGAAGUCGGAAUCGCUAGUAAUCGCAGGUCAGCAUACUGCGGUGAAUACGUUCCC